AAAAGCUCGGAUUUUGUUCUAGUCCCAAGAUUGAUCCACCAGAAGCCAUCUUUAAUUCUUCCACAGAAUAUGGUAGUUCGGAUGAAAAUUCCAGCAGUAAUCUGGAUUUUCCUAGAAGAAAAUUUGUGGUAACUUUUUCUUCAGAAGAAUGGAAAAAAAUAAAACCUGAUGAUGUGCAAUACAGACUGCAUGAUAAAAAACGACCAUCACAAAGUUUUAAAACGUACUAUGCAUUAACCAAAAAUCAAUGGACACCUAUUUUGGCUGAACAUUUUUGGGUGCAUACACAACUUCCAUGCUGCUUAUCAUUCCGCAAAGCAAAUGUUCAUCCACAUGGAACAAACUUUGUGACCGUAUUUGGACGAUGUAGUGUAUGCAGCUCAUGCUUUAAAGGGAUUAUUUCUGAAAAACCAUUAGAUAAUGAAAAGGUAUUAAUGCAAUGCACGUAUACGGGGAAUUUUGACAUGUUGCAC